GACGAACGCUGGCGGCGUGCUUAAUACAUGCAAGUCGAACGCAGAGGGCCUGCUUUUCUGUGGUGCUCGAGUGGCGAACGGGUGAGUAACACGUGAGUAACCUGCCCGUUACUUUGGGAUAACUUCAGGAAACUAUAGCUAAUACCGCAUAAGAGCACAUGUUGCAUGGUGUUUGCUUGAAAGUUUCGGCGGUUGGGGAUGCACUCGCGGCUUAGUAGCUUGUUGGUGAGGUUGUGGCUUCGCCUGGCUAUGACGAGUAGCCGGACUGGGAGGGUGACAGGCCACAUAGGGACUGAGGUGCGGCCAAGACUGCUACGGGAGGAAGAAGCGGGGGAUAGAGCAAGAUGGGCGGCGGCAUGAUGCAGCAACGCCGGGUGCGGGAGGACGGUCGUCGGGUUGGAAACCGCGUGAGCCUGGGACGAAGAGUGAGUGACGGUAAUGGGUAAAGAAGCACCGGCUAACUACGUG
rnacentral:rRNA from 1 species